AUUGAACGCUGGCGGCAGGCUUAACACAUGCAAGUCGAGCGGAGUGAUGGUGCUUGCACUAUCACUUAGCGGCGGACGGGUGAGUAAUGCUUAGGAAUCUGCCUAUUAGUGGGGGACAACAUCUCGAAAGGGAUGCUAAUACCGCAUACGUCCUACGGGAGAAAGCAGGGGAUCACUUGUGACCUUGCGCUAAUAGAUGAGCCUAAGUCGGAUUAGCUAGUUGGUGGGGUAAAGGCCUACCAAGGCGACGAUCUGUAGCGGGUCUGAGAGGAUGAUCCGCCACACGGGGACUGAGACACGGCCCAGACUCCUACGGGAGGCAGCAGUGGGGAAUAUUGGACAAUGGGGGGAAUCCUGAUCCAGCCAUGCCGCGUGUGUGAAGAAGGCCUUAUGGUUGUAAAGCACUUUAAGCGAGGAGGAGGCUCUUUUGGUUAAUACCCAAGAUGAGUGGACGUUACUCGCAGAAUAAGUACCGGCUAACUCUGUGCCAGCCGCCGCCGUAACAC
rnacentral:rRNA from 1 species